GAUGGGUGGUCUUCCCUGAGGACGGAGGAGAGGCGCCAUGGCGGCUGCGGGCCCGCGCGUGGGGCUGACUGGUCUGCGGGAGGAAGACGUUCCCCGCCCGCGCCCCGGCCGCUGAAAAGGGGCUGUGCGCCCUCCUCGAGGCUCCGCGCCUUCCUUUCCCGCCGCCCCGCGCGGUGUAUCCCCACCUUCUCAGAUUUAUCUGCUUGAUUUUCGGAUUGUCCCUGCAUAAGGAUGCAGAGGAGGGCAGGUGGUGGCAGAGUUCCUGAUAAUGAAACAACAGAGUAUCUGAUUGACUGAAGAUGUUGAAGGAGGGUUUUGGGAUGCAGAAUUUUCUAAAUCCACCUGGAAGUCUGGGAACUUCUCCCUCUAGCCACAAGACCCUAUCCCACACCCUGCAACAAGCAAUCUGGAAAACCAGACUCCAACCUCUGCAACAAUAGGCCCCAAGGGUCAGGACUUGGUCAGUGACUCACAGCUUCGUCAUUUUCAGUCUUUUCCAUGUAGAACUAAAUGCAGGGAAAGCCAAAUAUGUUCCCCUAAGUAAUCACUUAGGACGCCCCUCUUCCUAACAGCUUGUCUCCAGCCUCCCACAUCACAAGCUCUGGGCAGGACAUGCCUUCCUUUUUUUGCCACCAGAAAGUGUCCCCACUCUUAUGUGUGCCCUGAGUCUCAGCCUGAUGUGAGUGGUGGUGGCUGACUCCCGUGCUCUAUAGAUAAGUUCUGAGUAAAUAGUGCUUGUUCUCAUUUGGGGGGGUGUCUUCUUUCAUAUCUACAGAGCUUACU